AAAUGCUGUCCUGGUGUGGUGUAGGUUUUAACUUAGUUGAAUCCUCAUGCUUGCAGAAUGUCUCCUAACCACAGUCUUCCAUGAGAUGAUGCCAGCACUUAGCACAGAGACACAGGCAACCAGACCUGGACAAAUGAAAAUCACACUGGCGGGAGGCCAGUGUAAGUGACGACUGAUGGAGAGAGAUGGGAGUCCCUGUUUCCUGAGGCUUGAAAAACCCGAGGGCACCCUGGCCACACACUGUGGGAGCGCGGGAACAGGAGUGCGCUAUCCAGCGCGCCACAAUUUCUGGAGUCAGGUGUCUUAGCUCAACAGAUGCCGUAUUAGGAACAAACAUUAUGGCUCCACUAUCUAGAUGAGGCUGCUGCGGCUGAAGGAGUUUCAGUGACCGUGCCAACCCACGCAGUGGCAGAGGUAGAAUGACAGAGAAAGCUAUUGAUCUCUGAACUACUCUAGAAGAUACAGAAGAUCCUUCACAGGUUUCUGCAAGCACCCACUUCAUUGUCCCACCCAACUCCUUCUCUCCUGGCUUCCCCAACCCUUGGCAGCUGCUAAUCCACUCCCAUCUCUAAAGACUUGUAAUUUU
rnacentral:lncRNA from 10 species